UACGUAGGGUGCGAGCGUUAAUCGGAAUUACUGGGCGUAAAGCGUGCGCAGGCGGUUCGUUGUGUCUGAUGUGAAAGCCCCGGGCUUAACCUGGGAAUGGCAUUGGAAACUGGCGAGCUGGAGUGUGGCAGAGGGGGGUGAAAUUCCGCGUGUAGCAGUGAAAUGCGUAGAGAUGCGGAGGAACACCGAUGGCGAAGGCAGCCCCCUGGGCCAACACUGACGCUCAGGCACGAAAGCGAGGAGAGCGAACAGG
rnacentral:rRNA from 1 species